UGGUUACGUUAGUUGCUCAACAGUUCGCAUACAAGCGGUUGGUAGGCGACAGUUGGAAUGUUUGCGUUCGCACGCCAUUAUCAUGAGCAGUGAUUAAAUUAUUUGGGAAGGAAGUUCGUUAGUAACAGUACGCACGCACAAGUUAGCCGUUUAGCUAGCUAACAAACUAUUUUAAAAAAAAAAUCAAAUUUGACUGUCAACAGCGAGUGCAAAAUGCCAGUUCAAACGAUGCAAUUGGCAUUAUACGAUGCAACUCGUUUUGUAGAAACACAAUUUCACGCAAAUAGCUUUGCUUGAUCAACAGCACUAGCUAACUAACAUAGUUAGCUAGCUCAUUUGAAUAUCCUCAAGGCCAACGUGAGUAGUUGGCUAGCUAACGCGUUAGUCUAGCCCUUUGAUUUAGUGAAGAAUGGCUGGUACGGCAUUGGGCGUGGGAACUGUUUUUUUCUUCCCAUUGCUCUUAUCUGGAUGGUAGUUUUCGUGCUGGGGAUGAUCCUCUUGAGAGCUACUGGACCAACUAACUUAGGGGUCAUCCCUGUCUUCCUGCUGGCCCUCAUUUCCACUCUUAUCCUGGUGUUCUUCCCCUGUAGCUCAGAGACCCUGUCACCAUUCAAAGAUUUUGAGCAGCACAAACAGACUGCAGUGCUUUCCUCCUGCACCGCCUGCCAAAUAAUGCAGCCAGAUCCGCCAAGCUGCCACCCCACAGAGGGCACCGCCAGCCUGGCCAGUUUGUGUUAGAACUGAUUGCAGUGGCUCACUUGUGACAUCUGUUGGAAGAAAGAGGAAUUACACCGACCAUUUAAACACAAGAUACCCACUUAUCAAACAUACAGAAACCAUCUAUCCUAAACUAACCCACUUAUCAAACAUACAGAAACCAUCUAUCCUAAACUAACCCACUUAUCAAACAUACAGAAACCAUCUAUCCUAAACUAACCCACUUAUCAAACAUACAGAAACCAUCUAUCCUAAACUAACCCACUUAUCAUUAGUUUGUACUGAUGAUAACUGUCUGAACAUCUCUUUCCUCCUGCAGACCGUAGACACUUUCUUCAUCAGCCGAUACGUCCUGCUGUCGGUGGCCAGCGUAGGCUUCUUGGUUGCUCUGUUCGGCCUGCUGCCCCUCCAUUUCCUGGAAGCUGUCUAUGCCAAGCCCUUGAACACACUAGAGCUGAGUGGCCAGGCCAAGUUGGCAUGCUAGACUGGUGGCCAGGGCCCAAUGUGCAGCGCUGGAGAUGAGAAGAGACCAACUAAGAGGGGCCCUAGUGAAAUCGAGCGCAGGACAGGUUGGCAACCGAGCCCAAAAACAGACAGGGCCAAUGUUUUCCCCGUGAUCGACUGUUUGUUGUUGGGGGUGAAUUUUGGGCCAACUGAAAUUAAAGAGGCUACUAUGUUCUUUGGUAUAGGCCACUGUAAACAUAAACAAUGUGUUUUGUGUUUAUGGAUAGCAAUUAGGCUACUUUGAAUUGUGGUGGUGGAGUAGCACUUAUAUGCAUAGCGCUUAAUAUAAUGCAUUUAUCUCUAUUGCCUGAUUUAGAAGUUCAGAGGAUAAGACUGAUAACUGUAUGUAUAUUUUUGACAUUCACUUUUUUUUCUCCACUUGUAUUUAUAAAAUGGUUGUAUUGUGAUUUUUAGGAGAACUUUAUUAAACAUUUCAAUAUUGUUAA